rnacentral:rRNA from 1 species
UACGUAGGGCGCAAGCGUUGUCCGGAAUUAUUGGGCGUAAAGAGCUCGUAGGCGGCUUGUCACGUCGGGUGUGAAAGCCCGGGGCUUAACCCCGGGUCUGCAUUCGAUACGGGCUAGCUAGAGUGUGGUAGGGGAGAUCGGAAUUCCUGGUGUAGCGGUGAAAUGCGCAGAUAUCAGGAGGAACACCGGUGGCGAAGGCGGACCUCUGGGCCAUUACUGACGCUGAGGAGCGAAAGCGUGGGGAGCGAACAGG